rnacentral:rRNA from 1 species
CAGUAGCCGCGGUAAUACGUAGGUGGCAAGCGUUGUCCGGAAUUAUUGGGCGUAAAGGGCUCGCAGGCGGUUUCUUAAGUCUGAUGUGAAAGCCCCCGGCUCAACCGGGGAGGGUCAUCGGAAACUGGGAAACUUGAGUGCAGAAGAGGAGAGUGGAAUUCCACGUGUAGCGGUGAAAUGCGUAGAGAUGUGGAGGAACACCAGUGGCGAAGGCGACUCUCUGGUCUGUAACUGACGCUGAGGAGCGAAAGCGUGGGGAGCGGACAGGAUUAGAUACCCGGGUAGUCCCUGUCUCUUAUAC